GCUGAGCAGGGAACGGGCGUGGUGUGCGUGGAGGUGGAGGUGGAGGUGGAGGUGGAGGUGGAGGUGGAGGUGGUCCCUCCGCCUGCAGCGUCCCGAUCUCAGAGACCAUGGCCAAGGAUUCGGGGAGGGAGUGCAGGAAUAGAAGGAAAGCCUGGACGUCCCAAGGCUGGUGUAAGGCUACCCGGUUCCUGGGCUCAGGGGCACAAACCUCACAUCGGCGCAGAGGAUGAGGAGGAGAAGGACAGAGUUAAGAGCUCUGAUAUUGGCUACACGACUUCCCCCCUAAGCAGUUGGUGAUGCGUGCUUUGGACUAAGACUGUAAGGGACACAAAGAAGAUUAAGGGACAGAAACAUCUGUUACACGGAGCGUGCUGGGGUAGUGUAGCCUGGAGGAAGGGAAGGCUGAGGUGGAUCCAGACAGUAUGUGCAAGUACCUGAUGGGAGAGUAUGAACACCAUAGACUGUGCUCUGUGGUGCCCGGGGGCCAGGACAAGAUAUCUAAGGACAGUGUGAGGAUAUUGGCACAGGCUGUUCAGAGAGAUGAUGGAGUGUCCAUCCUUGGAGCUACUCAAACCCCAAUUAGACCCAGCCCUGGGCAAGCAGCUGUAGCUGACCUUGCUUUGAUGCAGAGCUGGAUGAUUCACCACAGAGGCUGUUUAGUAACUGCAAACAUGGCCAGCAUUAGGGCUGGUCUUAGCACAAGGACAAAGCUUGUGGGUUCAGGUUGUGUGGGACUCCUGAGGAGCUGCCCUGAGCAGGAGCUAUUCAUCCAGGCUGUGGCUGGGGGUCUAACACUGAGGUUUCCAAGGUGAAAAUGUGACAUGCAUUAGCAAUAUUACUUGGUACUCUACUGUAUUGCACUGAAAGAUUUAUAUGGUCUUGAAAGUCAUUAUACUAUUUGGUUAUAAAAUAUGUAAGUAUGCCAGAUGCAGACAUGUCAGCUUCUUGGAAGUGGGAAAUAGCACUAUUUUUGCACUAUAGUUGUUUGGGUUUCUUUUUUUAAAAACCUAAACCAACAUGAUAAUUACAGAGGAAUCCAAUUCUGCAAAAUAGCAGUGUUAAGUUACUCUCUGCUGAACAUGGUAAAUGUGCUCUUGUAUGGACAGUACAAAAUCCAAAGACACAGAGCAGUGAAUCCCUCCAUUGGCACUAAAGGGAUAGUGUUCCUUUCCUAAGGAACCCAGAUACAGCCCAGCUAUCACAGACCAAACCAAACACCCUGUGCAGCUCUAUCCACCAUCUUCUGAGAUCCUGCAUCUUCAACAAGUUGCUACAAUUUAUAGCCUCUGUUUAAAAAUUUAAAAAAAAAAAAAAGACCCAUCUGGCUGGUUGCAGUUAGGUUUGACACAUAAAAGUGUAACUCAGCAGUUCCUCCUUGCAACUAGUUCUGCUUUGAUGGAAAAAUGAGAACUGACAAAUGAAUACAAGGAAAAAAAACAGUUCAAAAGUGCUGUAAUGGUGUGGAUGUUACGAGAUGUUGGCACUAAGUACGGCAGACAGGAUUUUAAUCAACAUCAGCUAUUUUGGGGAGGAUGAUUUAGUUGCUUGCAGGGUGUGACUCACAUUUCUUGACAAUAAGCUGUGAUUUUAUAUGUAAUUCUUAUCCUGCAGCAGCAGUCAAGUCAGAACAAUGUUAUUUACCAGUGAAACUCAGCUUCAUCCCAGAAGGAUCACUUCUGAAGUGUAACAGUUAAUCUCUCCCUUACUGUGGAUUUUUCCCACUAUUAAUGAGAUUAAGGAUCUUGUUUCUGUAGGCUUUAACAGACAAGACUUAAUUUAUUAGCACCCUUUGAAGUAGUAACCUAAAACAGAGUAUCCACUACUCCUGUCAUUUCUGUAUGCUCCUCUGAAGGUCAAAUAGUACUGAAAAUUGUCCCAUCUAUAGAAAAACAAAUCUUAGUAUGACGCGUGACUCUUCAUAACAGCAGCAAAUCUCCUUAGGGAUCUUCCAUCUGUUUCCAAAGCUUAGGAGAGGUUGCUUGAUGAACAAAACUGCCUGUUGGUGAGACCUGGGAAAGAAACAACUAUAAAAUCCAGCUCUCUUCUAGCAAUGCUGCCAGACUGUGUGGCAGCACACCCUUCUACACUGGUUCACUGCUUUGAAGAAUCUUUUUCCCCCAGCUUUUACCAACUUGAUCCCCUAUUCCCCCUGCAAAUGCAAGGCCCUGCCAUAUUACAGACCCUGCUGUGGAACUUCAAGGCCAGAAAUUUCACGGAACUGUCUAAAUCAACAUUUAAGUCUAUUAAUUUUAGCAUCAGUGAAAUACCAUACAUGGAUUAUAAAAUCUGUCAGUGUAUUAUAAAUCUUAAGAUACUAUUAGGUAAGCAUUCUCUUGAAUACUUCUGAUGCAUUUCACUUUAACCCCAGCGGUGGAACCAACAAGACCUAAGAGGUCCCAGCUCCACAAACUUUUGAUGAGUUGUCCAUUCAAACAUUCCUAAAUGCAGAAUGGGUCAAAAAGCAUUUGGGGAAAAAGUCCAGGAGAGAAGGCCAUUAUCUCUCUUCUGCCAAACACAGAGAAUUCUGCUGUACAUCCCCACAUUUUCUACUGCCUCUAUGAGGGAACAGGAUGCAUACUAUGGACUUGGUCAACAUCUUCAUUUCACUGCCUUUUCUUCAAACACCAGCAAGACUGUAGUACAGACUACCUAAAGGAGUGGAACAACAGUGUAUAUGGAAUGAUAGGUGCAGAAGGCAGAAUUUAACACAGAUUUAAAAUUAUUUGUUUUGUAGAGAGCUGACUGCAUAGGCAAAUAUAACUUCACACAGUUAUCACUGUAAGGACCAUCAUCAGUAAAAACACCAAGAGCUGUGCUGCCAACCUGACAUCUCAUGUACCUCAAGAGAAGCAGAUGCUGCACUGCCCAACAGCAUCACACUAGUGUGCUCACUGAGCAAGCCCAAAACAUUUUUCCCAUUGGAAAUUUUCGGGGUUCUGGGGUUGGGAUGACCCCGAGAUAGUAGAAAGUCUUUUUGCUCCCAGCGCCACAACCAAAGAAGUAGAGAUUUGUCACUUCUGCUUUUCAAGGUUAUUUUUCCUUAUCUAUAACAUUCUUUCCCUGACCAGCUGAGAUCGGUCCAGCAGGUUGGGUUGCGGCACCCUGUCUGCCCUUGGGGUGGUACUCUGUCUCACCCCUCCAAAAUGUACAGUAUAUUCUAAGCAUGUGGUCCUGCCCUGAACCAUCAUGUAUCUGUAAUCCCAUUGGCCCAAGUGUUAUUCCGCACCCACUUUAAAUUCCCCUCUUAAGCUGUGCUAGCGAAAUCAAUGCUCUCUUAGCCUUUCUCCUCUCUUAGCCCAUCUCCCCUCUUGCUCCCUCCCUCCCCUAGGCUCUCCCUCUCCCCCUCCCUCCCCCUUUCCCCUUCCCCCUCAGUAACCAUGCUGCUCCCAGGGAUGGGACCCCCAAUAAACCCCCAUCUAAUCAGCACCCUCAGAAGGCGUGUGGAGUCUCCUUUCCUGCCUGCUGCUGCCAGCCAACUCACAGCUUAGGGUGCCCUCCAGGGACUCCCCGGGGUGCCCCCACCAAUGAACUGCAACAGUGGUAUUAACAUUGUAUACUAAGAACAAGGUGUACUUUAUUUACAAUAAUUUUCCAAUACCUAUCACCUAUGGUAGACAGUCUGUCUCUACUCUAAACCAGUCAAGAAGUGUCACCAUCACAGCAGAAGAUGGAGCACAAGAAGGAGAAGGACAGGACACGUCCAAAUUCCUCCAUCUUGCCUCCUGAACUCCCAUUCUAAAACUCCAAAAUCCUACUUUUUCACCCUGUGACAAAUCAGCUAUCAUUCUACUCAAACUCUUGUGGCUUGUAAAUCUUCAUACAAAGAAGUAUGUUUGUUCCAUGGGCUAAAACCGAAGGCACAAAUGUUUUUGACUCCGUGCCUAGGUCUCUGAGCCCCCUGCCAGGGUCUCGAGUCAUCCAGGGCAGAGAGUGGAAUAUCCUGGGUUCCGACAGAAAAUGCAUCACUACUGCUGUACAUCACACACAGUUCCUCUCAUAAUCCUUGGAAUAGUUUGGUCUAGAAAUAAAAGUUUCUAUGACAAAGUUCACAGCUGCAAUAACUACUGACUCAAAUACACCACGUUUUGUUUGUACUGGCUCUUUUGUUUAGACUGAGGGACUCAUACAUAGAAGAGCAAUGGAUUGUUUCUAUUUUCUUCUAGUCUAGACAUUCUAGAUUCAAAAUUAAAAGUUGAGUUAUUUUUUGAUGUUAUAGGAGGAUCUCAAUCCCAUCUUCAGCAGAUGGAUACAGCUACAGCAGAAGGCAUCUACAGCACUUGACUGGGGCUGGGCUCCCUCCCAAGCAGUGUUCGAACUGCUGACUCCCAUUAACCACAGCAAUCCCUGUGGAGACUGCAUACACUAUUUACUUCUCCAAAAGAUGCCACGUUCUAGAUUCCUCUUUGCUGUUACAAAAGCAACUUUGCACUUAAGGAAGAUACAAAUACAGUAUGACUAGUCUAUAUAAUCAACACCACUGGUCUUUACUACUUUGUAAACUGCUGAUUAAGCUGUAAAAAUCACUUCCUUCAAGUCAGCACUAUAGGUAUCAAAUGAGUUAAGAACUUCUCCUCUCUGAUUAGCGAAGAUCAGCCUCUGUUGAUUCUCCGUAUCAAAUUAAUUUGAAGUUUUCAUAUCAGAUACUUUGCUCAACAACACAUUUGCUGUGACUUUGCUCAUAAACACAUUUUAAGAGGACAGGCAAGUCAAAAUAUAUUAAAAGUCCCUCUGGUUUAUGAUAAUGUUGUUAGGAAUGCAGAAUUAAAUAAGAAUACAAAAAACAUUGAAUGCAAAGUUAAAUACAAUACAAACUUUAUUAAAAAUAGGUUGCAAGUGAAAUACAGUAGAAAUGGGAAACUACAGCAGUUUUGAUGGUUUUUUUUUUCAAAUAAUGCACAGACAAAUAUGAAAAGCACUUUUACACAUAUUCACACUUGACCCGAAUGCCCAAUAGCGGCCAAAUCCACUCAGCUGAAGGUUAUAGGUUAUUUUUUUGCUAAGCCUUUUUCAGAGUCUAGCAGCAACAGUAAUUCAGCCACAGCGUAAGUUUUUUCCUCUCACUGUAAGGCUGCUAGUGUUCUCAAGAUAAAUUGGGAGAGGCUUGCUUUUGCUGAUGAACAGACAAAGCAAGCAUGCAGAUCCUUCAUUAACACUUUCAACCAGUUUAAUCUUCUACUUCAUAUUUAACAGGUGAAACGGUAAAAGCACACUUUCAAAUAAGAAACCUGAAAUACGUAAAAAAUAUUUACACUCCAAUUUUCAUUAACUUGCAUUUAUUUAUCAUACAGCUCUUAUUAAAAGUGAUUUCUUUCCUAAGGCAGUGAAAAUCUACCCCUUUGUAUUUGGAAGUGUGCACAAAUCCCUAAAUAUAUAUUUAUAAGAGAACAAUAUGAUACAGGAAAAAAAAUCAUCUAAAGCCAGUAAAGGGCUCUGUCAAAUAGAAAAUUUGUUUGGAAUCACAAUAUAUAUUGUCUUAACAUCACACAAUGAGAAAGACUCUGAUGAGGUCCUUAUUCCCAACAUCAUCAGCCACAUAGGCAUAGCUGAGGAAAUAGUGGGAGGAAAAAGAUUAACAAUUAAAAAUUAAAUAAGGCUAUAACAGUGUGAAAAAAUAGCUUGAACUGCCAAAAAGGCUUUCAGUACAACCAUAAUAGGAUGUCAGUAAAGCCAGCUAGACGGAAUGGGAGCUCACUAGCACUGCUUCCUCAGCAUGAGCAGGGAUGGUUCCUUGCUAGUACACCAGCCGUGUUAAUGACCUUAUGAAUGUUCCCACUUCCAGACUGCAGUACUGUAUUUGAUGCUUUAUACUUCAGUCUUCUUCUCUAAUAUGCCAAUUGAUAUCUCCAUAGAAAAAAAAUAUAUUGCUGAACUGAUAAUAACAGACUUAUCAAUACUGUUCCAGGCCUAAUUGCCCAAUAACUUCUAAUCUGAGUUUCUCAGAAAACAUACCCAUGUGUUCUGCUUACCUUCUAACUGUAAUCCUUGCCUUUAAGACAUUACUAAUAUUUUGGUCCUAGCUGAUGGAGGGCCACUAAGUGUAGCCUACUAUCUAUUGCUUAUGUAAUUUUUAAUGAAACAGUUAUCCAAAGGUUGUUAUCUUCACAUUUUUUUAAAGUCUGAAGCACAUAUAGUGGGGAUACAACAACGCAGACUUUUCCAUAACUACAGAUAAAAUCUUAGGCAUCCAUUUUAGACCCAACAAAUACAUAGGAAUAGAGAUAUUCUUAUUCCAAGAUUCUAUCUAGAGAAUGUGUGUUAUGCCAGUACUAAGUAAUGGUAAGAUCUGUAUUGAUAUGCUUAUCCUUCUAUGAACACCAUACAGUAUGUCACACUUGCAUAUGAAACCUUAUUUAAGGUGGCCCAGACAUUGGCUUCUUGUCGAACAACCUAAAAUACCAAUUUCUAGUGCCAGUUUACUUUAGGCAGUUCAAGCUAUUCUCACUUUCUCUGCUCAGCAGCUAAAACAAAAGUGUGUCUGUAAAACACCAGGAAACAACUUAUCUUUGACAAGUGCUACUUGGUCUGGUGCAAAAGAACUUUACCCCCAAAACAGAAAAAAAGUUACCUUCACGUGAUUCAUAUCUUUAAAAAUUUACAGUGCUUUCACUGUAUAAACCACAAGUUUCUGGCAAAGUAAUCAGAGUUUUCUUGCUAUUGCAACAUCUCUAAGUCUUAAUUAACAGUCUUAGUAGAUAUAAAGGAAUCAAAGUCACUCCUUUCAGAAAACAUUCAUUUUCUGUCCAUACUUAGUAGUGUGCUCCCAAUCUCAAUCCCUCAAUUUGGAGAUCAUCCAUUACAUCUGAUAAGGUGCUUUCAUCUUAUUUUGUGUUCAACUCAUUUUCCAGUUCCAUUAGUUUCCUAGAAGCUUUUACUUUAUUGGAUACAUCCU